rnacentral:snRNA from 1 species
GCUCAAGACCUGUGGCAGUAUCGUAGCCAAUGAGGUUAAUCCGAGGCACGAUUAUUGCUAAUUGGGAACUCUGAGUUGGCUUCUUAAAUACCUUCCUGCUGUUUCACAUCUGAUACUCUUUGAUGAAACAUAGGAGCCUUGUCUUAUAACAGG